AUACGGAGGGUGCAAGCGUUAUCCGGAAUCAUUGGGUUUAAAGGGUCCGCAGGCGGAUUAAUAAGUCAGUGGUGAAAUCCUCUCGCUCAACGAGAGAACUGCCAUUGAAACUGUUAGUCUUGAAUUCGGUCGAAGUAGGCGGAAUGUGUCAUGUAGCGGUGAAAUGCAUAGAUAUGACACAGAACACCGAUAGCAAAGGCAGCUUACUAGACCUGGAUUGACGCUCAUGGACGAAAGCGUGGGGAGCGAACAGGAUUAGAAACCCCGGUAGUCC
rnacentral:rRNA from 1 species